rnacentral:rRNA from 1 species
GGCUCUUUGAUUUUAGAUAAAGAGUUUGACCUGCCCGGUGAAAGAUUAAACGGCCGCAGUAUCCUGACUGUGCGAAGGUAGCAUAAUAAUUUGUCUUAUAAUUGAAGAAUGGAAUGAAUGGUUUGACUAGGGUAUAGCUGUCUCUUAUGUAUUUUUUAAAAGUUAAUUUUUAAGUUAAAAAGCUUAAAUUAAAUUAAAAGACGAGAAGACCCUAUUGAGCUUUAUAAGGAACAUCACUAGUUACAACUAUAAAGUAAAUAAAAACUAGUAUUGGAAUUUUGGUUGGGGCGACUUGGGAAUAAGAAAAGCUUCCUUAAUAAAUUAAGAAAGAUAUUUUUAAAGCCAAAUAGUUUUGAACUGAAAACAAGUUACCAUAGGGAUAACAGCGUUAUUUUUUUUGAGAGUUCUAAUCGAAAAAAGAGUUUGCGACCUCGAUGUUGGAUUAGGGAUAAAAUAAAGGUUGCAGAAGCUUUAUAUAUUUAGUCUGUUCGACUAUUAAUUUCCU